GGCAGCAAUGCUGAGGUGGCGACCGGCGCACGGGUGCGUAACGCGUAUCCAACCUUCCCGUUACUCUUGGAUAGCCUUCCGAAAGGGAGAUUAAUACAAGAUGGUGUUGAAAUUCCGCAUGUUAUUUCAACUAAAGAUUUAUCGGUAACGGAUGGGGAUGCGUUCCAUUAGGUAGAUGGCGGGGUAACGGCCCACCAUGCCCACGAUGUCUAGGGGUUCUGAGAGGAAGGUCCCCCCACACUGGAACUGAGACACGGUCCAGACUCCUACGGGAGGCAGCAGUGAGGAAUAUUGGUCAAUGGUCGGAAGACUGAACCAGCCAAGUAGCGUGAAGGAUGACUGCCCUAUGGGUUGUAAACUUCUUUUGUUCGGGAAUAAAGUGCAGUACGUGUACUGUUUUGUAUGUACCGUUCGAAUAAGCAUCGGCUAAUUCCGUG
rnacentral:rRNA from 1 species